AGAGUUUGAUCCUGGCUCAGGAUGAACGCUAGCGACAGGCCUAACACAUGCAAGUCGAGGGGCAUCGGGACGUAGCAAUACGUUGCCGGCGACCGGCGGAUGGGUGAGUAACGCGUAUGCAACCUACCCGUAGCAGGGGGAUAGCCCGUUGAAAGACGGAUUAAUACCCCGUAACACAGGGGCUCCGCAUGGAGAUUAUUGUUAAAGGGUCAUUUCUUUUUCAGGGAUGGUCCGGCUGCGGAUGGGCAUGCGUUCCAUUAGGUAGUUGGUGUAGGUAACUGCUCACCAAGCCGACGAUGGAUAGGGGAACUGAGAGGUUGGUCCCCCACACUGGUACUGAGACACGGACCAGACUCCUACGGGAGGCAGCAGUGAGGAAUUUUGGUCAAUGGACGCAAGUCUGAACCAGCCAUGUCGCGUGAGCGAUGAAGGUCUUCGGAUCGUAAAGCUCUGUCCUUGGGGAAGAAGGCGAAAGCUUGACGGUACCCAAGAAGAAAGCCCCGGCUAACUACGUGCCAGCAGCCGCGGUAAU
rnacentral:rRNA from 1 species